UAAGACGAACCGUGCGAACGUUGUUCGGAAUCACUGGGCUUAAAGGGCGCGUAGGCGGCUCAUCAAGUCGGGGGUGAAAUCUUUCGGCCUAACCGGAAAAGUGCCUUCGAUACUGGUGAGCUUGAGCGAGGUAGGGGCAGAUGGAACUUCCGGUGGAGCGGUGAAAUGUGUUGAUAUCGGAAGGAACGCCGGUGGCGAAAGCGAUCUGCUGGACCUCUUCUGACGCUGAGGCGCGAAAGCUAGGGGAGCAAACGGGAUUAGAUACCCCGGUAGUCCUAGCCUUAAACGAUGGGUACUGAGUAGUGGACUUGCAUGGGUUCACUGCUGAAGCAAAAGUGGUAAGUACCCCGCCUGGGGAGUAUGGUCGCAAGGCUG
rnacentral:rRNA from 1 species